GAUAGAUUCAUUUCAAUCAUCGGUAUGCUUGUACUUGAAGUGCGGUUAAAAGUAGCCAGAACUUAAAAUGAUUUAGCGACUGGGCAAUAUUUAAUAAUUUUAAUCAAAUUCAAUUAUGUCAAAUGUCGCAAACCGAAUCUACUUUAAUUGAAUCUAUGUGGGACAAGCGAAAACUUUGACCGCAUCAAUUGUCGACGACACGAAAUGACGCCGUUUUUUCAUGGUCCAAGUUCCAGAUUUUCAUUAGCGAAAGUGUGCGAGACAAAAACAUUUCCGUAGUUUCGGAAAGUUUGUUGGAAAACACCGAGAAUUCUACAACAAACCUGAAAUUUUUGCGUUGAAUGGGGCUUUGAUCCAUAAUGAUGGCCUUUCCAUUAUCUACACAUACAGAAAAGUUUUCCAGACUAUUCAAGCAUACUGAGUACUCUCAUUGUCUCAAUUUAGCAAAUUACUCAACAUUUGCUGGCACCAGGCUCCAUUUGCAUUAAUAGUGAUAUCAUUUAUCUUUUAAAUUUUGUAUACUCCAGCACCAAGCUUUUUAAUUUGCUA